UAUAAUGGGUCAGCGACUUAUAUUCUGUAGCAAGGUUAACCGUAUAGGGGAGCCGCAGGGAAACCGAGUCUUAACUGGGCGUUAAGUUGCAGGGUAUAGACCCGAAACCCGGUGAUCUAGCCAUGGGCAGGUUGAAGGUUGGGUAACACUAACUGGAGGACCGAACCGACUAAUGUUGAAAAAUUAGCGGAUGACUUGUGGCUGGGGGUGAAAGGCCAAUCAAACCGGGAGAUAGCUGGUUCUCCCCGAAAGCUAUUUAGGUAGCGCCUCGUGAACUCAUCUUCGGGGGUAGAGCACUGUUUCGGCUAGGGGGUCAUCCCGACUUACCAACCCGAUGCAAACUACGAAUACCGAAGAAUGUUAUCACGGGAGACACACGGCGGGUGCUAACGUCCGUCGUGAAGAGGGAAACAACCCAGACCGCCAGCUAAGGUCCCAAAGUCAUGGUUAAGUGGGAAACGAUGUGGGAAGGCACAGACAGCCAGGAUGUUGGCUUAGAAGCAGCCAUCAUUUAAAGAAAGCGUAAUAGCUCACUGGUCGAGUCGGCCUGCGCGGAAGAUGUAACGGGGCUAAACCAUGCACCGAAGCUGCGGCAGCGACACUAUGUGUUGUUGGGUAGGGGAGCGUUCUGUAAGCCUGCGAAGGUGACCUGUGAGGGUUGCUGGAGGUAUCAGAAGUGCGAAUGCUGACAUAAGUAACGAUAAAGCGGGUGAAAAGCCCGCUCGCCGGAAGACCAAGGGUUCCUGUCCAACGUUAAUCGGGGCAGGGUGAGUCGACCCCUAAGGCGAGGCCGAAAGGCGUAGUCGAUGGGAAACAGGUUAAUAUUCCUGUACUUGGUGUUACUGCGAAGGGGGGACGGAGAAGGCUAUGUUAGCCGGGCGACGGUUGUCCCGGUUUAAGCAUGUAGGCUGGUUAUCCAGGCAAAUCCGG
rnacentral:rRNA from 1 species